CUACGGGGGGCUGCAGUGGGGAAUAUUGCACAAUGGAGGAAACUCUGAUGCAGCGACGCCGCGUGGAGGAUGACACAUUUCGGUGCGUAAACUCCUUUUAUAUGAGAAGAUAAUGACGGUAUCAUAUGAAUAAGCACCGGCUAACUCCGUGCCAGCAGCCGCGGUAAUACGGGGGGUGCAAGCGUUACUCGGAAUCACUGGGCGUAAAGAGCAUGUAGGCGGAUAGAAAAGUUGGAAGUGAAAUCCUGUGGCUUAACCAUAGAACUGCUUCCAAAACUCUCUAUCUAGAAUAUGGGAGAGGUAGAUGGAAUUUCUGGUGUAGGGGUAAAAUCCGUAGAGAUCAGAAGGAAUACCGAUUGCGAAGGCGAUCUACUGGAACAUUAUUGACGCUGAGAUGCGAAAGCGUGGGGAGCAAACAGGAUUAGAUACCCGUGUAGUC
rnacentral:rRNA from 1 species